GGGCUACUAAUAUCACAUCUCUAAACUUAUAUUUUUCCCUAAACCAUGAGAAUUAUCAUUACUCCAACAUACCCAAUAUCAUCAACCUCUACUCCCUAAGUUUGCUGAUUAGAACAUCAUAUACUACAUAGCCUCAUCCAUACUUAACAACUCAAGGGUACUAUCAAAGCACAUACAUUGUUAGAACCUAGAAAUAAUACAAUCUCAUAUCACCUUGGGUAUACC
rnacentral:lncRNA from 1 species